AGUGCCACAGAGAGGAGACCGCCGGCCGGGACGUUCGCGUCCGCCGGCAAGGGUGAAAGGGUGCGGUAAGAGCGCACCGCGCUGCCGGUAACGGCAACGGCACGGUAAACCCCACCGGGAGCAAGACCAAGUAGGGACGACAGGCCGCUUGAGCGGCCGGGCUUUGUUUUCGCGCCGUCGUCCGGGUCGGUCGCGUGAGGCGUCCGGUAACGGGCGUCCCAGAUGAAUGGUCAUCCCCCGCUUUGCGGCGGGGACAGAACCCGGCUUACAGGUCGUCUGGCAUU
rnacentral:RNase_P_RNA from 1 species